rnacentral:pre_miRNA from 1 species
CCCACACCCAUGUGUGUAGGACCCCAAAGGAUCACCAUUAAAUUUAGCAAAGAUCUCUAAAAAAGUUAUCACAUGGGUGUGGGAUUUGAUUUUUCUAAAGAUCUGUGCCAAAUUUAAUGGUGAUCCUUUGGGGUACACACAUGGGUGUGGG